GCUUACAGAGUUGAGAGCACCGAGUGUGGGAACUCAGGGACUACUAUUCUGAGCACAAUUGAGAAAACUAUGUUUCGUCCCAUUGCAUGUGCUUGUCUUUGAUCUCAAAUUGAAAAUCUCUCAGCCUCUUCCUCCAAUCCAAAAGCAAAUAAAUACUGAGAGAAAGAAACCUUUCUCCUCUCAGCAUGUAGGGCCUCCACAACUGAAAAAUGAAGGUAGCUGUAAGAGCUCUGAUGAACCUGUUUGGACAACAGACAGAAAAAAAAAAAUACCUGUCUUGGUGGAGGAGUUUAAGAACACUGCAGAGAUCAUCAGGCAGUACAGAAUAUCUUGGCUCACACGGGCCAUUCUCUUUAUCUCAAAACAAUACCAGCCAAGCUCCUCCGUUCCUACAACUGAAGAGCUGCGGGAGCAGGAGGACAGUAACUAAUACAGCUUUUAAAUAUGAAUCUCCUUGUCCUGUUAAGAAAAAGAAAGAAAAAUAAGGAGAAAUACGUUAAUUCCAAGCAAGGCAAGAUAUCUGAUUCCAAGGAAGAAAACUAUCCACGGCAGGUUGAAGCCACAGGGGCAGUUCUGAAUUGCCUUUCUCCAUCCAACUACUUUACUUCAAAAGAUGUCCCUUCGAAAAACAGCAACUCCCAGGGAUCAAUGCAUAAAACGAUGCCGGGGUCUUGCUGAGCCCUUGCCAAUGCUCGGAGGCUGUGCCGAGCAGGAGGAUUGCAGUGAACCUCUUCCCAUGUCCUGGGGGAGCCAAAUGCCAAGUGUGGCAAAACCCUCCAGGGAGGUAACACAGUGGAUGAUUGAUUGUACCCGCCAGCUGGCUAAUAUCAUAAUUAACAAAGUUGCUACCAUGUCUGAGAAGUUUAAUCGAAAAAAUUGCCGGCAGUAUGAUGCCAUUGUCACAGAGAUCACAAGCACAGCAGUGUUGACUUUUGCACUGGUGGAGCCGCAGGACUAUGUAGAUGUGCUGAAAAGUCGUUCGCUGGGAUAACUGAAGUGAGAUGUGAUUGCAGACAGCGCGCGGCCGGGCUGUGGUGGAACUGGCCAGUGGCAACCUGCCUUUGCGGUGCUGGCUCCCGCCGGAGCAGCCGUGCCACGGGGAUGCUGAGCUUGGGAGCAGUGCCUGCCAGGAGCCUUCGCGUGCAGGAAUGCCGGCAGGAGAGCAUGGAGCGUCAGCGAGGUUUAGCUGGUGGAUCAUAUUGUGAAAACUGCAGCCAUGAAAGGCCCUCCAUUUAGUGCACCCUUCAAAACGAAAUGCUAGCAUGGGAGGCUAAGCUGGAGGCUAAUAACGAGGGAGUCAGUGGAGGAGACCAAUGCCACAAGGGUUAUCUCACAGCCCCAGAUGCUGGAUAAGUUGAAGGAGGCAGAAUCGCUUUUGGAUGACAUUCAGGAAGGCCUUGAAUGAUUAUCUGGUGGAGUAAAGACUAUUCUUUUCAAGGUUUUUUUCCCUAGAUGCUGCAAUGAUCUAUUAAGAAUCCUUUUUGAGACAAAGGAUCCACUCCACCUCCAACCUAAGGAAAUGCUUUGAAGGAAUUGACAAGCUCACUUUUAAUCACAAGAGAGAAAUUACCCACAUGGAGUCAGCAGAAAAUGAAAAAGUAGAGCUCGUGCUGCUAAUAAUUCCAGCAAGUGCCAAGGGGCUAGUUGAGAAAUGGCUUCAUGAGGUGAAUAUCUUUAGCUCUUACUUAGGGUUUGGUUACUGUAUGAUCAUUUUCUCUUUUAGGAGCAAUGAAUAUUAUAAGUGUAUACUAAAUAGCUCUCUGAAUAUUUGUCAAGAUGUUGACAGAUUUCAGCCUUAUUGUUGUUAUUUAUUGCAACUAAUUUAGCAUCUGCAAACAUGCAGAAAUUAAUUCUAAUAAAAAGCUCUCUUGAAUCAGGCUGUCAGCAGAAGUUGGUCUGUGUCUGAAACCAUAUGUGUGAAUAUAUGUUUGAGUCUACAUGUAUGUGUUUUUGUGCUUUCGUGGUGUAAUGUCUGUAGUUCAGGAGGAUAAUAUGUAAAAAGUAAUCAAAGAAAUGUAAGAUUUUAAAUGCUUCCCUCCACCCUGCAGAAAGUGUGUCCCAUUGUGUUGGAGGGGUUUAAUAUCCAAUCAUUUUAACAAAAGGGAAGAGAAAUUAUGUCACUGAUAACAUCCUAACCUUUCCCCUUCGGGCCUCUAAUCUAAAUUCAUUGGUUUCAGCACGAAAUUAGUUUGGUGACCUUUUUUGUUUGCUUUGUUUAACCUUCCUCUCCCAGUGGAUGGGAAUGGGACCUUCCAUUCUUUUUUCUUUCUGGGCACAUUUCUUCCAUGUGCUUCCCUUUUUCCUGGGGCAGGAGCAGCCCCAGGAAUUUCCCCUUUGUUCACUGCUGCAGGUACUGGUCUCGUCCUCAGGGGCUUGUCCCGGAGUGCUCCCUAGGCAAGGAUAAGUGACAGGGACCAGCACCCAGCGCCAGCAGGGGAAGUGAGGAGAGGCUGGGGAUUGCUGUUUGUACAGCCAGAUGGUUGGGCAGAGACUGGGGGCAAUCCCUGGGCCGUGAAACCUGGAGCAGGUGGCAGGUUAAAGGUGUUUGGCCCUAUUCUUAUCGUGUUCCUACUGGCUGUGUGAGCAAAGCCAGGCUGCAUAAGCCCGCUCGUGAAUCCCCUUUUCCUACACACUGAAGCAGCAAUGUGACAGCCUUGGAUGGAGGCCCUUUUGGGCGCGACUGCACAUGGUUUAAAGUGAUCCAGCUGCAUCAUUUUUCAGGAUAGGGCAGGGAGAAGGGAAGGGGAUGAUUUAGGCAAGCCCAAACACUUCUUACCCUGCUCUCUGUGUCAAGCCACUAGCUUGGUUUUGGACUAGUUUGCAGACAAAUUUGUCUUCCAUUAAAAAAAAAAAAAAAAAAAAGGGACAGUGGAAAAGUAGCUGUCCUGAGGAGAAACCCAGAUUCUCAAACCUAUGAUAUCAAUUUUAGUUUUCAGUUUCUUCCAUAUAUGAAACAGGGUUGAGGGAGGUGAGCAGCUGUGUUUAUUUUAAUACAUCUAUUUUAACCCUCACCUAAAAACAAAUGGGAAGGUUUGGGAGUGCAUUAAUCUGGAUCAGAUUAGUAUCUCUUUCUCCCUCAAAAGUGCAACCUGAGAUUAAUGAAUAUAAACUAGAGUUUCAUAUGCAGUCUUUAAGUCAUUUGCAUGUUUUAUGCAUGAUAAUUGAAUUUAUUUAUGCACUUCCUUUCAUUUAAUGAUUUCUCACUCUUUUCUAUGCUAUCAACAUUAUAUUAUGCAAGAAGUUGGAUUUGGUAGGCAAGAAAGGAUAGCAGUAUAUAAAUCAAACCCGAGUUAAUUUUGAGUUCUAGUGUCACUACUAGAUCAGAAUUAAUAUUGGUCCCAUGCCAGUGGGUUUACAUGGCUGCGAGAAUGUAAAAUAUUUUGGUAAAGCAGAGAUUUUAGCUUGAGACAUUUCUGAUGUGGCCUAGUUUGCUUGCAAGUGCACAAGCAAAAUUAUUUUCAAAUGGCAGUUAAAUUAUUGUAUUGACUUUUCAAUGACCCUAGAGACUUGUGUUUCUACUUGGCCAAUUAGUAGUAAUAAGAAGAUGAAUAGUAAUUACACUAAUAAAUAACUGUGUUCAGACCAGGACCUCAGUAUUAUAGUCUGGGUUAGAAAAUAAGGAUAUUUUAUAAUUUGUCUCAUUUGGUCUUUCAUCAGGAGAAAUCUGGACUUUGGAGCUAUAUAGUAAAUUUGUCAUAGCCAAGAAGGUAAAAGUCCUCGGGAUGAGAGGGUCAUAUUUGACAGGAGCUCUGUGACAGUGGCUGUUUCAGUGUCAUAAGUAGGGAAUCUUGUUCUGCUUCUGCAAUUAAGCUCAGAUUUCUUAAAGAUGUCUUAGUGUUGGAGUGCAAAUUUUUAAUAAUGCAUGCCAGGAAGUUACUAAGGAAGAUUAGGGAAAAGAUGCUGGUAGUGUGCUUUCAUAGCGUUUAUCUAUACCAGUUUCUUUUGUGUCUCUUGUCUUUCCUUAUGUCUUGAAAGAUGUAUGUGGAAGUGAUAUUUUUCUGUGGCGUCCUGUCUUUUAUCAGUGAAUUAAAUGGUUGUGUCUUGUGAUUGUUUCUUGAUUCUCGUAGGUAGGAAUGUGUUUAAAGGCUAAAGGUUUGCUAAUUUGUGAUGUAACCAUUUCAGUGUCUUUCUUGUCAUUGAAAUGUAGUUUAAAAUGUUCAGUAAUGUAGCAUGAAAUCAUUGGUUAGUUUUGGAAUGGUGAUGAAAUCAUGUGAAGAAAAUAAGUAUUGCAUCUGAUCAAGAUAAAUUCACUCUAGUGUUUUAUGGCUUUUUAUUCCUAUGUGAUAGUAAUAAAGUCUCAUGUAGGGAUGGAAGCCAUGAAAUACAUUGUGAAAAAUCAUCAACUCAGAUGGGGCCAUCAGGAUAGCAUGCUGUAGUUGUAGAGUUAUGGAGAAUGAUUGGAAGAUGGUUUAGUGUGUCAUCACUUUGACUACCAUGUUUUUGCAUUUUGCUUCUUCAUCCUUCACCCAUGUAGGUUGAUGAGAGGAAAUCAGUUUGUAACGAGAUGAUCCAUCUUUACAUCAGUGUUCAGUAUUUAAAUUGUUCAUACAUCUUUCAUUUUCUGCCAAAGAUAACACUGUAUAUGAAACACUUAGCUAAGAAUUUAAUAUAGCUAAUAAACACAUGCCAAAAUGAAUACAAAGAAAUGCCAAUGAAUUUCUAAAUGCUUGGAAAUAAGGAAGGAAACAAAGCAAGGUCUACCCUGUUAGCAACUGGUCCAGACUCUUUAUUUCCAUAUUUAAGAGCAAAUCUGAGAUGUAACCAGGGAUUUUAAACGAAUUAUUUUUUCUACUUGCAUGUCUUUCUGAAAGUGCUUUGUUCUUUUCCUCUCUGGAACUGGGAUGAAGGCUGAUAGUGUUGGGCUCAGAAAAAAAUUCCUGACAAAUUCCUUACAGUUCUGCUAUUUCACAUAUUGCCUUACUGGGCUAUCUCCUUUGCUUUUGUAUACCAGUUUCCUUUGUGAAUAUUUUGGGGAAUGUUAUUUAUUUCCAAUUUUUCUGUUGUAAUAUUUCUCUGAAGCAUAUGUUAAUAAAACAUUAUUGAUUUUUUUG